CAGCCCCCUCCCUCCCUCUUUCUCCCUCGGUCUCUUCCUGUGCAGUGUGGGAUUUCACUUCCCCGCCGCGCUAUGGCAAGGACGGGCUCUGCUGAAGAAGCAGCAGCAGCAGGCAGAGCCGCCGAGGAUCAGGGCCCGGCCCGGGGGCGCAGCCUCCGCCGCUGCGCUUAAGCUGGCGAGCUGACGGGGCUGCACCGGACUCGCCUUCCCCGUUCGCACGACCCCCCACGCACCCACUCACCCCGCAAAAACCCCUCGCACCCCAUCCCCACCUUUCAGCCUUCCCCGUUGCUCCUCGAUUUCUCUUGCGCACCCGAGCCUCCGGAUCGCGGGCAGCGCGCAGCGGACGGGAUCCGCCUCGGAGGGAUGGCUGGCUCCGGCACGGAUUUCCCCGGCGACUGGCGGCGGAGGCGGCAGCAGGAGCAGGCGGGUCCCUGCGCGCACUGAGGGCGGCGGGGAAGGCGACGCGAGGAUCUAAAUCUGUGACCACUCUGCUCUGGGAGGACGGCAAGGGAAAAGAGCGAGGGAGCGCCAAAGAGGAGACGGAAGAGAAGAGGAGAGCUUGCAGAUAACAAGGCCCAGCCAUGCAGUCCUUCCGCGAAAGGUGUGGUUUCCAUGGCAACCAGCAGAACUACCAGCCGGCAUCUUCACAAGAUUCAUCACGCCUGGAGAAUUACAGGCAUCAAAGCCAGGCCGGGCCGCACUGCGAGCGUCAGAGGAUGGUGGCAAAGGAGUACUACGGCCAGCAGCAGCAGCCGCCACCGCCACCGCCGCAGCCCCCCCUGCCUUACCAGGGGUACGGGGAGAACAGCACCGUGGAGAAAUACCACCGGGGGAAUAAGCAGCUACGCAGCCAGCAACUCCCAGGCCGGCCGGCGUCCUUCCCAAAUUACGCUGUCCAAGAGAACAGUCCCUAUCCGGCCCGUUAUUCCGGAGAGGAAAGCCUGCAGGCCUGGGGGUCACCGCAGCAACAGCCACCUCCACCCCCACAACCCUUGCCAGGAGGGGUGGCUAAAUAUGAGGAGAACUUGUUGAAAAAGACAGCCGCCUCCUCUAGCAGCAGGCAGUACCACGAGCAGGCCCCUCAGCUCCCGUUCCGAACUCAUUCCCUGCACCUCCAGCAGCAGCAGCAGCAGCAGCAACAGCAGCAACAGCAGCCGCCCACCUUGACCUACCCCAAGCUCCCGAGGCAGAAAAUCCAGAAUGACGUGGCCUCCCCCAUGCCCUUCCCGCAGGGCGCCCACUUCAGCCAGCAUUCCCAGUCGUUCCCGGCCUCCUCGACGUACACGUCCGUCCAGAGCGGGAGCCAGGCCGCACAUUCCUACAAAAGCUGCAACGCUCCCUCGGCGGCACCGCAGCAUGAAAGGACUCUGGGCAACGUCUCCAGCCUGCCCUCUGGGCAGCGGGUCCAGGGCCUACAUGGCUACCAGCCUAACCGAAUCAGCUACGACCAGCAGCAGCAGCAACAACAACAACAGCAGCAGCAGUCCAUGCAAGGAAGACACCAUGCCCAGGAAGCCCUUCACUAUCAGAACCUCGCAAAAUACCAACAUUAUAACCAGCCGGGACAGAGCUACUGCCAAGCCGACGCCCCUGUGCGGACUCCAGACCAGUAUUACCAAACUUUCAGCCCCAGUUCCAGCCAUUCCCCAGCUCGUUCGGUUGGUAGGUCUCCCUCGUACAGUUCGACGCCUUCCCCGUUGAUGCCCAACUUGGAGAACUUCCAAUACAGCCAGCAGUCUCUGAGCGCGGGGAGCUUCCCAGCCAGCCUCGCCGACCACAGCCAUUUUAUGCCUUUGUUGAACCCUUCGCCCACCGACGGGGCGAGCCCAGAUGCUCAGCCGCCCGCAAACUGCAAGAGCAUGCCGAAGGAGAAGAUCCCCGAGAACCUCUUGUCGGAUCUCAGCCUGCAGAGCCUCACGGCGCUCACCUCCCAAGUCGAAAACAUUUCCAACACCGUCCAGCAGCUUCUCCUCUCCAAGUCCACGGGGAUGCCCCAGAAGAAAGGCCUAAAGAACCCGCCGAGGACCCCGGAGCAGCUCAAGGGCCAGCACUGCAGCCCCGAAGGCAACAAUUACUCCGCCGAGCAGGCGGGGACUCCCCUUUCAGACCCCCUGAGCACCCCGCAGUCGGUCCACGCUGAAACCCAGGAUGGGGAUUACCUGAGUGGAUCUGAGGAGCAGCUGGAAAGGAGCUUCCUCUAUUGCAACCAGAGCCGCAGCCCGGCUCGCGUCAACAGCAACUCCAAGGCAAAGCCUGAGUCCGUAUCCACGUGCUCGGUGACUUCCCCGGACGACAUGUCCACCAAGUCAGACGACUCAUUCCAAAGCAUCCACACCAGCUUGCCGCUGGAGAGCUUCACCAAGUUUGUGACCAACGAGAGGGACUGCCCGAGACUGCUCCUCAGCGCCCUUUCUCAGGAGGAGCUCGCCUCUGAGAUCAUCGGUUUGCAAGAUGCUAUCAACGAGAAAGCAGACAAAGGCUGGGCCAGCCCCCCUGCUCCAAACAAAGACCCCGACAAAUCCCCUUUCCACUUAGAGAACCACAGAACCUGCCUGGAUUCCAUAGUCAAAAGUCCAUGGUCCAACCAGGGGGACUCAAAUGCCCUCGCCGAGCCCUUGAAGUUGGACAAAGCUCUGGGGGGGAAUAACGGGAAGAAUUUCACCGAGGAAGUCUACAACAACUCCCAGGUGGCGUUUACAACAGCAGAGACGAAAAAUACCCUGAAAACGACCAGCUCUGUGGGCUACAAUUCCAAACCCAACAUCUCGGCUGCCACUUCCAGCUCCGAGGCCACGAGCUUCAGCUGCUACUCAAAUGCCACGGCCAAUUCGGUGGGUUCUGAAAACGCCAUGGAGAACUUCGAUUGGCCGGACGAAAACCUCAGCGACACGUGGAAAGAGCUGGGGUCGAGCCUCCAAGGGUCAGACAUUUCCAAGAGUUUGUUCUCCGGCAAACUGAGCGAGACGUCUGAGGAGAAAAAAACUGCUUGCUGCCUGAGUCUCUGCGAUGCUGAGCAGGCGCCCCAACAAGCAGAGGGCUUCGAUCAGCCGCAGGAGGCAAGCAAGGGAGAGAAUCUGACUUACGACGAGGCCACCAGAGCAGACAGUGAGCGAUGGCUGGAAGACACCACUAGGCAGUCCUGCUCAGGAGGAGACUUCAGUGAACUUCCCAUGAUGUCCUCUCCAGACCUGAAAGAAUCCGAUUUGGAACCGGAAGAGUACUCCUCUUUGUGUGAACUAGCGGCUUCCGAACAAAAGUCUUUGACCUAUGAUGCUUUUACACCUAAGGCAGCGGAGAACGCCCCGGCCCUCUCCCUGCAAGACACGCCAGGUUCAGCAGAAGAAAUGGCAAACGCGGCCGAGAAAGAGAACGCCACUCCUCCUUCGCACUUAUCUGAUCAAUCUGUUAUCCUCUUGGGCCCGGCUGUUGGCACGGAGACAAAAGUGAAAAGUUGGUUCGAAUCUUCCCUGCACCACUUGAAGCCUGAGGAGGAGGAGGUGGUGGGGAGUGAAAACGCCUUUCCAGAUGAUAAGGCAGAGACGCUGGCAGCUUCGCUAGUGACUAACCAAGCCUCUCUUGAGCAGGUGCCAAUAACCUCAGAGCCAACAUCUAGGGGCAAGAGCCUCCGCAGUAAGAAGGUCCACUGCAGGCUGUCGGGAGGCGAGGAACCCGUCCAACCCAUGUCAAGCCCAUGCACGGGCAACCAGGCAGCUGGCAUGGUGGCCAGCAAAUGCCCAGGUCCAAACAACCUGAUUGAAAUGCCAAGUAAGAGUGCCCAUGGCCAAACUCCCCGGUUUCCAGCAGAAGGCUUGCCAGCAAGGAUGUGUACCCGCUCGUUCACCGCCUUGACUGAACCCAGGGUGCCAGAUCCUUUGGAAGGUGCAAAGGCCUCGACCCCUCAAGAGAAGUCGGGCAAGAAGACGGCGUGCGUCCUGAAACAGAGAGCCGCUUUCAAAGCUAGGAAGGCCAAUGGCAAACCCAGCAACGCUGCUUCCCCACCGGUCCCAAAUUUGGCGCAGAGCGAAGACUCUGAUCACAAGGCGAAAGAAGCCGAUGGUGUUGAAAUGGAAGCGAAAGAUCAGCAGUCCAUGAUCCUUCGUUCCAGGACCAGGACCCAGGAGGUCUUCUACAGCAAGCGGAGGAGAGAGAAGAGCGCCAUGGAUGCGGGGCUCAAGGAGGGCAAGCCACCCAAGAAGGUCCUUCCAAACAACCAUUUCCCCGGUUCCUUCAAGGUCAGUCCCCAAAGCAGGUCUGAAAGGGAGAGGAAAAGGCUGGCACUCCCGAAAGCCAGGCCUGGAAUGGGUGGCAAGAUGUCCGAGCAGCCGCUUCACAGCCUGAAGAGGAAGUCCGCCUUCAUCCCACCGGUUCCUGCGAAAAAGAGGAACUUGGUCCUGAGGAGCAACAGUCACAGCGGCAGCAACGGGAAGGAUGAGAAGCCGGGAGCUUCCGCCGGCCUGUUCAAGAGGAUGCCGCUGGCCAAAAAGGCGAAAGCUAAGCUGUCCCCUAAGAACUCCUGCGAAGUGGUGCUCAAGUCCCCUCAGGUGAAGGAGAACCCUGACGUCUGCAUCAAGAUCACCUCUCGGGCCGCCUUCCAGGGAGCGAUGAAGACGAAAGUGCUUCCCCCAAGGAAAGGCCGGGGCCUGAAGCUGGAAGCCAUCGUCCAGAAGAUCACCUCUCCCAACCUGAAAAAGUUUGCCUGCCGAACAGCCACCGUCUCCUUCACCGUCCCUGCCGCCACCUCCCACAGUAAUCCCCUCAGCCCGUCCCUGCCACCGGAGAGAGAGCAGGCCUCAAAGAAUGCAGGCGCAGCCCCAGCGGCGGGGGAAGCCAGGCCAUUAAACCAGGCCUUGUCACAAAAGGCUCCCGCCGCUCCAGCAGCCGAGCAAUUAUGCAGAAGCCCGAACAACAGAUCCUUCAGAGGAAAACUAAUGAACAGUAAGAAACUGUCCUCCAACUGUUUCAAGGGUGAGGCCUAUUCAUCUCCCGAGACGUUGCAGCACAGCGGUGACGGCAUGGCUGCCAGCGGCACCGGCCUGCUGCCCAAGAAGAGGAACCGAAAAGGGAAAGUGGCGGCCUUCCGAACGGCCAAAAAUAGCCUGGAGAAGUGCCCUCACCUGAGCCCUGCUCUGCUUUUUGCAUCCAGAGAAAAGGCGGUGGCUGCAGCGGCGGCGGCAGCAGGGAAAGGCGAGGAGGGACAAAGGGAGGCGAAGAAGCCAAAGGCCGAGGACAAAGGCUUCAGCAGCGCCGAGAGCUCCGAGGGGAGGUCCUCGCAGGCCCAGACCAGGGCCCAGAAGCAGCGGGCCAACCAUUCCAACUACAAUGGCUACACCAAGAGACAAAGGAAGCGGCUCAGCCACCGCAAGGCCCCCAGCGUGCCCUCGAGGUGCAAGAGCAGGGCCAAGAGGCGGCACCCGCAACAGGCUCCCCUGCUGAGCCCGGCCGAGCCCGAAAUCCGGCUCAAGUACGUGUCGUGCAAGCGGCUGCGGUCGGACAGCCGGGCGCCCCCCUUCUCGCCAUACGUCCGGGUGGAGAAGCAGGAUGAGUUCGUCACCACCUGCACUGUCGUCAACUCUCCCGCCGAAGAGGCCCGGCUGCACAAUAGCGAGCGCUCCUCCUCAUCUCCGUCUGCCCAGGCCGGGCUUUCGGGGGCCGCAUCCCUCCAGCAGCUGCGAGCCGCCCUGCCUCUGUCGUCCGCCAUGCACCUCGGCCCGGUGGUAUCCAAGGCCCUCAACGCCACCUGCCUGGUCUGCUGCCUGUGCCGGAACCCGGCCAACUACAAGGACCAGGGGGACCUCUGCGGGCCGUACUACCCCGAGGACUGCCUUCCGAAGAAGAAGUCGCGGCUGAAAGAGAAGAUCAAAGUGGAGGGGCUGGGUGAGGAGCCUCCGUCUCCGGCGGAAAGGCUGCUCAAAGCGACAGAUAAUAAUUGUGCAACUAGUACGCCGGGUGGAAAGCCGCCAAGGUUGGACAGUGGCGCUGACUCAGCAAAACAGAGUGCUCUCCGCUCCAGUUCGAGGGGGAUGUUUAGGAAACUACAAAGCUGUUACUGCUGCGAUGAGAGGACAGAGGGAGAGGAGGCGGCGGCGGUGGCGGCAGCCGCCGAGAAGCCCAGGAGGCACGAAUGCGGCAAAGCGGAGCCGCCACCUCCGGACCCUGCCGGGGACACGCAGGAGCACUGGGUCCAUGAGGCCUGCGCUGUGUGGACAGCUGGGGUUUACCUGGUGGCGGGAAAGCUCUAUGGACUGCAGGAGGCAAUAAAGAUGGCUGCUGACGUGGUAAGAGUCCGCCCCUUAGCGUAAAGCUCCGCUUGGAGCAGGCCACGGGCGCAGGCGCCAACAGAACCGCCUGCCGUACGCCAAAAGCCAAGACCGCUUUGCAAAAGCAGGAAUGACAAGGUUUGGGGUUGCGGGGCUCUGGGGAGGUGAGCAUGGCAGCCUAACUAAGAGGCCAAAGCUGUAUAAUUUGGAUGUGUUUGGUUGGGCAUUGGGUUCCUACUUGGAAGUUACGGGGAAACCUUUCCUGGAAGAAGCAAAGUAGCCCAGUCGACAGUCUGAUCUGUCUCACCCCAAUGCUGGCUCUUGGCCAACUCUAAAAUUGGUCCUAGAGGGUUGGGGGGGGGGCUUGGCUGCUUUUGCCAUUCAGUCUACUUUCAGUCAGGUUUAUUUUCAUGCCUGGGUAAGGAGAAUGCUCCUUCAUCAGACCAAAUGCCAGGGGUCUCCCCAUUUGCCUUGGGUAGUUCCCCCAUCUUUUCCCAGCAGACAAUGGGGCCUGGGUUUCUUGCUACCUGCAGAGUAGAUGUGCCCCUUUGGAUACCCAUUGCUUAGCGAGAGCAGCAUACUGGGGAGGAACAGGGUCCGUGUGUUUGCAGCAAGCGAUUCCCCACCAACCCUUGAUGCGAAUAUUGCGCCCCAGCAUAAGAUGGAGCCUGGCGCCAUUUUGAGCGGAGCAAUCUAUGCCUCCCUGUGUUGCUGUUUGUGUUUAAGAAAUAUGGUUACUCCGACCAUGACACCCUUGGAGGCUUUCCCUGGAUUCAGUUUCUAGUUGCCGCCAGUGAUGAUCCAGUUAUUGUAUUUAUGGGCUGCUGCCCAAAGACCUUUGCAGCGGCUAAUGCACCUGGGAAGCACAAACGUGGGCCUUAAAAACAAUCGCCUUCUCUGUGCCGCUUCUCCCCAGCAUUUGGUAUACAGGGGUAUACUUCCCUUGUACAUGGAAGUUCCAUUAGCCAGCAUGGUUACCAGCUCUUGGCAGCUCUACGUUCUAUGCAUUCCUUUCAUUCAUACAAAAGCCACCCAGGCUAGCUUGGGUCAGUGAAAUCUGUGCGCCAAUUAUCCAUUGUACAACAGGGCCACCCUCAUUUUCCUAGCAUCCAAACAGUGAUAUGUUGCUGCUGAUGCUGCUGGGAAGAUGCCAUUUGGAGUUUUUGCUGCGCGGCCUCAUCCCCUUCCUGCCUUCCUCUACUUAUGAAAGCCAAAUGAGAUGUUCUGAGGGAUUUGUGGUUGGUAUCCAGAGCAGCACCCCUGUGUCUGAUGGUAAGAGGCAACAGGACGCAAUGUCACCACACUCCAAAGUCCUCUGUCUCCAGGAGAGCAGAAGGCAAAGGAGUGGGAAGAAGGACCAGGUUACAUGGUGCCAUACACCUUUGUUUACUGGGGAGAAGAGGACAUGAGGUCCCUUGCCAUCCACAGCAGCCAUGCAUCUCUUAAUCCCUGGGUUGUGGGUUCGAACCCCAUGUUGGUCAAAAGCUUCCUGCAUUGCAGGGGGUUGGACUAGAUGGCCCUUGUGAUACCUUCCAGUUCUGUGAUCUGUGAUCUCUCUUAAGAGUUGACCCUUGACCAGGCCAUUUGGCUGGAUAAUCUCCCAGCCUUUCAAUCAGGAACCUUGGAUAUCUUAUUCCCUCGCCAUUUCACCCACCACCGGCCAACAUUGCGUUGCGGUCCAGCACAUCCCCAGAAGCACUUUGGCUUGCGUUGUCAUUCUGUGCAUGCACCGUACAUUUGAAGUGCAUGGCUUUCCCCGCAGGAUCCUGGCAACUAUCAUUUCCCCCUUACAGAGCUGCAAUUCCCUUUCUUGGGCAGAAGUCAUGCGCUUGAAAUGUUUGGUGCGCACGCAGCCUCAGCCUGCAUUCCAUCUGCUGCUAGCCUCUGUUCCCAGGCACAUGCUCACAUAGUAUUUGCUCCUCCCACCUGUCCCUGCUUGCCAGCCACCAAACCAAUUUUGCACGAGGUCGAGGACCCACCUCCUGAGCAUUGCAGCUGUACCGCUCAACUCGUUGUGAAAAGGCUGGCGAGCAGAAUCUGAGAAAAAUCAGACAGUCUUUACAACAGGCUGCGGCUCAGGAAAUUAAGAAGGACAAGUGGGGCCUUCAACAACACAGGCUGCAGUGUGAAGUGUCCCUGCUCAGGAUACUCCAUUCCAUCCCCCUUUUGCCCAGUCGUCCCUUUCCUUCCUCUCCCAGCAGCCCUUCAACAUUCUGUGCCCACUGCGUUUUGUUCCCUUGGGCUGGCAAUGACCUGUCCUUGCAGCCUUCAUUUGGUUUCCACUUGAUUCAAAUGGUUUCAUCUUCAAGGACUGAGUUCACACAUGGUGCUGGUAAGGCAUGCAGUGGACGAUAACGAUGAUUUAAAUGUAUUUAUAUCCUGGCUUUCUCCCAAGGUGGGAUUCAAGGAGGCUUGCAGCAUCUAAAAACAUCAUUGUAGAGUACAACGUAAUAAACACAAACUAGAUAAAAGCAAUUGUUAAAACACAUUGAAAUCCAGCCUGACUUGACAGCAGCCCAGCAAUCGGCAUCACCUGCACCUAAGUUUUCAAAGACCUGUCUGAACAGGAGGCUCUUGGGCUGCCGGCAGAUAGAUAAUCGAGAGGGAGCUAGUCUAACUUCUCAUGGGAGAGAAUAUGGGCUCGCUUAUUCUGCAGCCUGCCACUCCAGCGUUCCACUCCAGGUUUAGUGGAUUAUAGAUAAUGAGCCUUACGGUUCUAACACCAGGAUGUUUCAUGGCUACUCUUAAAUGGGAGGUGUAGCCUCCCAGUAUGAGAACAUAAGGACACAAGGCUUGUCUCUUUUAGUUCAAGCUAAAGUUCCAUCAGAGGGACCCAGGUGGCGCUGUGGUUAAACCACUGAGCCUAGGGCUUGCUGAUCAGAAGGUCGGCGGUUCGAAUCCCUGUGACAGGGUGAGCUCCCGUUGCUUGGUCCCAGCUCCUGCCAACCUAGCAGUUCGAAAGCACGUCAAAAUGCAAGUAGAUAAAUAGGAACCGCUACAGCGGUAAGGCAAAUGGCGGAGUCGGUCAUGACUGGACCUAAUGGUCAGGGGUCCCUAUACCUUUAAAGUUCCAUCAAGCCCCACAUUCUGUCCCAAGUUGAAUGGAAACCCAGAAAGCUUGCCUUCCCCCCUUCUAGAUCUGGUUCUUGAUCUGACAUCCUGUUCUACUACUUCUUUUUGGUUGAUUGAUUUGAUUUUUCAAAUUAAAAUUUUACAGAGAUAUAUCAAACAUAAAUCGUAAAAACAAGAUUCCAAGGAAUCUCCUGGACUUCCAUCCUCCCCUUUGUGGGUCCUAUUAUUAAUCAUUUCCUCCCGCAUCUUUUAUGAUGAUCCAAAUCUUUUACAUCUCCAUUGUAACCAAAAUUCACCCUCAGACUACAAGUGAUAUUCCAAUCCUACUAACAAUUAUAACUGUUUACAAUGGUCUUUAAGAUAAGAUAUAUCUUUCCCCUAUUCCUUGUUAAAAUUUUGGUCUUCCUGAUUUCUGACUCUUCCGGAAGAAGUCUGCUUCUAACCCCACAAAUGAGCACUCCACCUUGUCAGGUAGAAACUCUUGUGACACCUCAGGUGCUUCUUGAACCUCAAGGUCACGUGGCCUUCAAAAGACUGGGAUAGCUUAGGAGCAGAGGACAGAGGUUACUUCUCCAAGGCAAACUUUUCAUACAACCAGGCAGAAGGGCCUCCCUGGUAGUGGUGCCCACCCUUUGGAACACCCUCCCAUCGGAUGUCAAGGAGAUAAGUAACUAUACAACUUUUAAAAGACAUCUGAAGGCAGCCCUAUACAGUGGUACCUCAAGGUUGCGGACCCAAUCUGUUCUGGGGUGCUGUUCACACCCCAAAAAGUCCACAACCUGAGCGGCAAUAGAGCACAUGCGCAAAAGCACGAUGGAGUGCUUCUGCGCAUGUGCGAAGCGCGCAGAAUGCUUCUGCGCAUGCGCGUGUGGCGGAACCUGAAAGUAAACACUUCCAGGUCCGCCGCGUUCACAACCCAGAAAAACGCAACCCGAGGUAUGACUGUAUAGGGAAGCUUUUUAAUGUUUUAUCAUGUUUUUAUAUAUGUUGGAAGCCGCCCAGAGUGGCUGGGGCAACCCAGGCAGAUGGGCGGGGUACAAAUAAAUUAUUAUUAUUAUUAUUAUUAUUAUUAUUAUUAUUAUUAUUAUUAUUAUCUCAAAAAGCACUUCCUAGUCCUGCAUGCAUACAUUUAGAAAAGCCAAAGCAUUACCGCAACCCACAGAGGAAUCUAAAGCAAUGGCCAAAGUGAAAAAGUCAUCAGCAAGACCAGGGUCUUCCCUGCUAUUAGGUGGGCUAAGGCAGCUGCCUCAAGGAGGCACACGUUGCGGGGCAGAGCAGCAGCAGUGAGAUACUAGAGAUGGCAUAGACCCUCCAUCCCUACCAACAGUGCUGAAGCACAUGGACACCAUACAUUUAAAAUGCAUGGCUCCCCCAGAGAAUUCUGGGAACUGUAGUUGUUCUCCCCAGCAUCCUUAAACUACAGCUCCCAGAAUUCUUUGGAGGAAGCCAAGCUGUUUAAAUCGAUUAUGCAGAUGUGACCUACGUUCAUAAGGAACUUGAAUGACCUGUGAGUGAGUCAAACAAGCGGUUCUAGCUGAAACAUGUGGCAUUAUCUUCUUUUCAGGAAGAUUAUUAAAGGCACGUCGAGGUUUGGGUCUUCUUUGUAAGCCCCAAAUCUCUGCCCCUUCCCCCAUUGCUUUUUAAAUAAACUUUAAAAAAAAACUUUUUUCUUUGCUUACUGGGUAGCUGAGCCUGCUGCAAAGUGCAGAGCCAACAAGGCCCCAGCCAGCCUCCAUCUUCAUUUGCCCACAGGCACUGCACACACUUUAUGUGUUGUAGGCCUGUGGGCCCUCCCAGGUCCUAUGUACCUUGCAGUGCCCCUGCUUGCUUGCACACAUGGAAGUUUGCUUAUUCCAAGGCAACAAACCCCUUAGAUGUUUUCGCCUUCUUCCCGUCAGGCAUGCAAUGUGAAUGCAGUAGGACUUGCAAUGGCCAGAAUUUUUUUUUUUAAGGAAUCAGAGCUGUUUACAACAAUUGUACAUAAAACCCUGCAAUAAAUGCCAUUAAAAAAAACAAUUUACAACUGCAAAACAGCUGUUAUGGAAAGAUGAAUUCUUCGUUGCCUGCAUAGGAGUGAUGGAAUAGAAAAGUUUUCAGCAGUUCUCUACUGAAAGUAGAAACAGAAGGUGCCUGCUGAACCUCUCUUGAUGGAGCAUUAUUCCACAAGACUCGUCCAAGGACACUGAAGGACACUUUCAAAUGAGCCUUACCUGCCUGGAGGACGACCAACGAUGCUCCUGCAGUGAUGGAGCUGGGAUACAACAGUUCAGGCGGCCUUAGAGGUUCCCUAGACCUGAGCUGUUCAGGGCUUUGUAGCGUGAUACGAGGACCUUGAACCUGGCUCUGCAGUAGCAUAUGAGAAUGCUCACACGCGUUACAGAAUCCUCUCUGCUGUGCAAACGAUGGUCAGGCACCCAUGAAACUCACCGUAAGCCCAGUAGGAGAAGAGUAUGUGAUCUUAACCUCCGAUUCUCGUGACCAAGAGCUCUGUGCCUGCACAAAUUUGACAGAGACAGAAUUUAUUUCAAUGGGGAGGUUUAUGCAUAGAGGCUGGGCUGAAUGUUCAUUAUCUAUCAUCGCUAGGCCGCAAGGUGAAGUGACCUGUGGGGGGAAUAGAUGAAGGCAGGAACUGGGACCUGAAUGAUACAUUGAGGUGGCUGGCUGGGCACCAACUGGUCUGCAUUCCAGGUUGCAAAAUGUGUUAUUGGGCUGUGUUGCUUCUGUGCUGGCUGGCAUCAUCUGCUUGUUUUGUUCCCAGGUCUGGGGCUGUUUCUCAGUUACCGUUUCCCACCUUCUGAUUCUCUGCGAGGUGCUCCAGUUGUCAGCAAGUAGGAGCAACCAUUGGC